GGAUGUGAGGGCGAUCUGGCUGCGACAUCUCUCACCGUGUUGAUCACCGGGGUUGAUGUGGCCGAUCUGGCCGGCUAGGCCGGUGUCCCCCUCCUCCCUCACCGCUCCGUGUGCGUCCCUCUGGAAACUGCAAGCUCAGUGAAAGAGGGCAACCGCUCCGACAGAGGAGGACCUUUCCUCUGCCCAGGGUAAAAGAGUGCCUGCACUCCCCUGCUGGAACCUCUGAAAAGCUCUCAAGAUACGAUUACCUGAUUGGCUUAGCAUAGUUCUGGGUGUGAUUGAAUGAAGAAUUUAGAAUUAGGAAUUUAGAAGUGGGAAGACCUGCCCUGUCUGU
rfam:Heterocephalus glaber contig32019, whole genome shotgun sequence.